UACGUAGGGUGCGAGCGUUAAUCGGAAUACUGGGCGUAAAGCGUGCGCAGGCGGUUCGUUGUGUCGGCGGUGAAAUCCCCGGGCUCAACCUGGGAACUGCAUCUGUGACUGCAUCGCUGGAGUGCGGCAGAGGGGAUGGAAUUCCGCGUGUAGCAGUGAAAUGCGUAGAUAUGCGGAGGAACACCGAUGGCGAAGGCAAUCCCCUGGGCCUGCACUGACGCUCAUGCACGAAGCGUGG
rnacentral:rRNA from 1 species